GACCAGCUCCUGCUUCACGUUCUGAUGGAGGCAAAAAGAAAGAAAUGCCAAGUGAAUAUACGCGAGUUUGGCGAGUCAUGACCGGCUACGUCUGAGGGAGCGGCCGAAGCCAAGCGAUGGAUUGGUGCCCUGUUCAGGGUAAACCUGCCUAGCAUCCGGUGUUUUACAGUGGACCUGAACCUGCUGUGACCCUGACCAAAGACAAAGCAGCUGAUUUCUGAGGCGAAAACAGAAGCCGUUUUGGACACGCCCCGCUCUCCCCUGCCUCUGAAGAGCACUGGCUUUACUCACAAAGGUCUCCACCAGAGAACUCAUCUGACUGCUCUCAUGUUUUGCCCGUGUCGAUGACGAACACCACAUCUGGAAUAGUGACUCCAGUCUCAGCGAUGUUGGUAGACAGCACGAUCUGAAACACACACACACACACACACACACCAGAGACACGUAUGACAAGGUUAACUUCUAGUUUCUUAGGAAAUGACGUGACUUUAAGCUUUAAAAACGUAAAUGCCUCCCUAAAGCCAGUCUUAGGUUUGUCUGUCUAAAUAAAGUCCACAC